rnacentral:rRNA from 1 species
GACGAACGCUGGCGGCGUGCUUAACACAUGCAAGUCGAGCGGUAAGGCCCUUUCGGGGGUACACGAGCGGCGAACGGUGAGUAACACGUGGGUGACCUGCCCUCAGCUCUGGGAUAAGCCUGGGAAACUGGGUCUAAUACUGGAUAUGACUCCACGGUGCAUGUCGUGGGUGGAAAGCCUUGUGCGGCUGAGGAUGGGCCCGCGGCCUAUCAGCUUGUUGGAGGGGUGAGGCCUACCAAGGCGACGACGGGUAGCCGGCCUGA